GACGAACGCUGGCGGCGUGCCUAACACAUGCAAGUCGAACGGAAAGGCCCGGCUUUUGUGGGGUGCUCGAGUGGCGAACGGGUGAGUAACACGUGAGUAACCUGCACUUGACUGUGGGAUAACUUCAGGAAACUGGGGCUCAUACCGGAUAGGAGCUCCUGCUGCAUGGUGGGGGUUGGAAAGUUUCGGCGGUUGGGGAUGGACUCGCGGCUUAUCAGCUUGUUGGUGGGGUUGUGGCUUACCAAGGCUUUGACGGGUAGACGGCCUGAGAGGGGGACCGGAUACAUUGGGACUGAGAUACGGCCCAGACUACUAUGGGAGGCAGCGGUGGAGAAUAUUGCACAAUGGGCGGGAGGCUGAUGCAGCAACGCCGCGUGCGGGAAGACGGGCUUCGGGUUGUAAACCGCUUUCGCCUGUGACGAAGCGUGAGUGACGGUAAUGGGUAAAGAAGCACCGGCUAACUACGUG
rnacentral:rRNA from 1 species